rnacentral:rRNA from 1 species
AUUGAACGCUGGCGGCAUGCUUUACACAUGCAAGUCGAACGGUAACAGGCCUUCGGGUGCUGACGAGUGGCGAACGGGUGAGUAAUGCAUCGGAACGUGCCCAAUCGUGGGGGAUAACGUAGCGAAAGUUACGCUAAUACCGCAUAAGCCCUGAGGGGGAAAGCAGGGGAUCGCAAGACCUUGCGCGAAUGGAGCGGCCGAUGUCAGAUUAGCUAGUUGGUGGGGUAAAGGCCUACCAAGGCGACGAUCUGUAGCGGGUCUGAGAGGAUGAUCCGCCACACUGGGACUGAGACACGGCCCAGACUCCUACGGAGGCAGCAGUGGGGAAUUUUGGACAAUGGCGCAAGCCUGAUCCAGCCAUGCCGCGUGCGGGACGAAGGCCUUCGGUU